AUGGCCAUGGCUGGUCCAGCUUGCAGAUUUCUCUCGUGUUUUUUGUGUUUUGUAGCAUGUCUUCUCGUUAUGGAGUCUGCUUUGUCUGCCCAUUCAUGGUGCACCCCACAUCCGAACCCGAAGGGAGAAGUGGAGUUUAAGCAGAAGACAGAUAAGUUCUGGGAGUACCAGGAGCAGAGCAAUACCUGGGUGGAAAUAAGCAUGCCUUUCAAUCUCAUGUCCUGCAUCAACGGCACCUGCACAAAGGUAGGCUCGAUCAAGCAACCAGAAAGCAAACAUGGCCGUGCUUCCGUCUCGAGUCAAGAGAAGGAUACUGAUCCCGUCCUGACCAUAAGGAAAAGAAUCUCCUUGGCAAGGAUGUCAGAGUCGUCCGUGUGGGUGACAGGCCAAAGUGGAUCAAUCUAUGAGAGGUUCUGGAACGGGGUCAUGUGGGUGAUUGCUCCUCAUGAGCUUCCAACAGCGGCUGGGUAUGCAACAGCAACUUUCAUCGUCAACACAACCAUCCUUGCUCUGUCCGAGGCUGGAAUCCUCUACCAGCUACAGCUAAAUGAACAUGCCCAGCCUAUCUGGACUGAGAUGACAUUCAGCUAUGAACAACAUUUCACAAACCUUGGAGAGAAGACACAAAGUCAAGCUACACACAUAAAAAAUGGGGUCGUAUCACAUAAUGGAAGGAAACUUUUCCUUUCUAUCACGAAUGGGUCCCUAAUUGAGGUCACAGAACUUCAGCCUCUAAGGUGGAAUUGCCAUGGGCGUCCCCCAGGAGCAGAUGUAUCAUAUAUAUCUGAUGCUGAAAAUGCAAGACCAGGGACCGUGUUCACAGUAAGUUCUACUGGAGACCUAUAUGAAUUUGAUAAGGAAACGAAGCCAUCAUGGAAAAAGCAUAUAUGGAGUGAACAAACAACCAAAAAUGUCUCGCUGAGCUCAUCUGUUGGGUGUGCUUUGCAUGGUCUCUUAGGCUCUAAUUCAGUAUCACUCUUUCUGAUAACCAAGGAUGGUCUUUUAGUGGAGCGGCGCUUGCAUAGAAGAAAGUGGAAGUGGGAUAAACAUGGAGCACCUAAGGGUCAAAGACUAAGUUCAAUUACAGAAGUUCAACAGGAUGAAUCUAAUGAUGCGACUUCAAUGUUUUUUACAACAACCACAGGAAAAGUAUUUGAGUAUCAGUUUACAAAAUAUACAGCAAUUCUUAAGUUCCAAGAAGAAACUAAGUUGACAUUGUUUAUCUUCUCCAUUGGACAAGGUGGGGCUUCAAGCAAUAAGAUUAGAGGACUAUGGGUAAAUCACAUGUCUCCUGACCAUGCAAAAGUAGCAGCAAGUGUUCGAGGUCUACAGAUUCAAGUUGGCAGAUUGAUAUUCCAGCUAGAUGAUGGUAGGCUUGGAGAGCUACAUUUACCUGGCAUGGGAGGUGAUCAUUUUGGUCCAAGUCAACAAAAUAGCAUAAGAAGGAAACUGCCAAACAAGUAUGAGUGGUCUAUCCUAGAUACACCAGAAACAGAAGGUUGGAAUGCAGAAUAUUGCACUGAAGAGCAUGGCCCUACAAACUGUAUUACUGGAGCGAUGAAUGUAGCUGCAGAUACGGAACCAACCAACCUGAGCAAUGCCCCACCUAGAAGGCGUAAAGCAGAAGAGAAGCAACACUACCUUCAUGGUCAUAGUCAUGAGAGUGAUGAAACUGAAUCAUACAACAUUCUAUCACGAAGCAUUUAUCUUAACUUCCAUAUGCGGGUGAUGCAUGCAGAUAGAUCACUUUUCCUCAUAACAGAUAACGGAUUAACUUUGGAAUAUCUAAACAGCAAUGGUGUUUGGCUAUGGCUAAGACAUGAACACAUUACAGGCAUGAAGGGUACACUAGGAAGCUAUAAUGGCAGCUUGUAUCUUGUUGAUCUUCAUGGGAACUUACAUAUUAGAGAAAGAAAUGGUGACGAACUCUUAUGGAUUAAUUGCACAGCAAUGAGGAAGGGAAGACAGGUUGCAAGUGGGCCUCCAUGGGAUGGCAUCCCUGGGUUAUCACGCAGAGUGACAACAGAUGAUGCACUUUUCUUUGUUAACAAGAGAGGCAGAUUGCUACAAUUCACGGUGGCAUUGCGUAAAUUCAAGUGGAAGGACUGCCACAGCCCUCCGGAUACCAAGGUUGCAUUCAUCGUGGAUCAGGAGGUGUUUAGAAGAAAUAUCAUCUUCGUGGUCGGCCGGAACGGUCGGAUGUACCAGUAUAACAGAAUUACAGAGCUAUGGCACAGGCACUACCAAUCACCUCACCUCGUCCUGUCAAGAUCCCCUGGGACAGCGAUGAGGCCGUCCCCUCUCUCCCUCACCGGCUCCAUCUUCAUGAUUUCCGAGCAUGGGGGCCUCGUGGAGUACCAUUUCAGCCCGCAGGACGGGUGGGAGUGGGUAGAGCACGGGACGCCCCACCGGGACGUCACCCUCGUGGUCGCCCCAGGGCCGUGCUUCGACGGCACCCAGUUGUUCGUCAUCGGGUCCGACGGACACGUCUACCUGCGGCACCUGGACGAGCGAACGUGGAGGUGGACGAGCCACGGGCACCCGUCGGAACCAUCCAGCACGACGACGGACGUCGCCGGCGGCGGCGAGCAGAGCUGCGCCACGCUGGGCGCCGCGGACGCGCACUACGCGAGCAGCUUCAGGGGGAGCUGCGACGAAAAGGUGGCGGCUGUGCGGCCGGUGCCGUUCUCCAAGGACGCGGUGGUCUUCGAACUGCGCGACGGCCGGUUGGCGGAGCUGCGGCGUGCGGCGGAGGGUCGAGGCGGGUGGGAGUGGGCGCGGAUCAUCGGCACGCCCGCCAGCGCCUGCAUGACAAGCUACUGGACGGCCGUCGCCACGUAG
rnacentral:rRNA from 1 species